UACUAUACUAGUGAGUAUUAUAAAAAUCUAAAUUAUUAAUAGAUAUAUUCUUUAAAUUUGAAGAAUUUGGCGGUAAUUUAGUCUUGUUAGAGGAACCUGUUUUUGAAUCGAUACACCACGUAGAAUCUUACUCAUCAUUAUAAAAGUUUAUAUACCAUCAUUAGCAGAUAAUUUUUAAAAAAUUAAUUAUUAAAGUUUAAGGAUAAGUUAAUUUAAAUUAGAUCAAGGUGUAGCCUAUAGGUGAGUUAAAAUGGGUUACAAUAAAAUUUAUUUAGAACGGAGCAGGUGUAGGAAAUAAACCUUGUAGAAGGAGGAUUUAAUUGUAAUAAAAGUUUAAUAAGCUAAAAAGAUAUAAGCUCUAAAUUAU
rnacentral:rRNA from 1 species